rnacentral:rRNA from 1 species
ACGCUUGAAGUCAGUCGCGUCUUUUGGGACUCAGCCUCGCUUUUGCUUGGUGUAUUUCCCGAUCGAUGGGCCAGCAUCCGUUUCGUCCGCCGGAAAAGGGCAGUUUGAAUGUGGCACGGCCUCGGUCGUGUGUUAUAGCUUUCUGUCGUACACGGCGUCCGGGACGGAUCUAACGGCACGCUUUCAGCGGUGCCUGUGUUGGCGUAAUGGCUUUAAACGACCCGUCUUGAAACACGGACCAAGGAGUC